rnacentral:rRNA from 1 species
CCUACGGGAGGCAGCAGUGGGGAAUAUUGCACAAUGGGGGAAACCCUGAUGCAGCGACGCCGCGUGAGUGAAGAAGUACUUCGGUAUGUAAAGCUCUAUCAGCAGGGAAGAAAAUGACGGUACCUGAUUAAGAAGCGCCGGGUAACUACGUGCAAGCAGCCGCGGUAAUACGUAGGGGGCAAGCGUUAUCCGGAUUUACUGGGUGUAAAGGGGGCGUAGACGGGAGCACAAGUCUGGAGUGAAAUGCCGGGGCUUAACCCCGGAACUGCUUUGGAAACUGGGCAGCUUGAGUGCAGGAGAGGUAAGUGGAAUGCCUGGUGUAGCGGUGAAAUGCGUAGAUAUUAGGAAGAACACCGAUGGCGAAGGCGGCAUACUGGACUGUGACUGACGUUGAGGCUCGAAAGCGUGGGGAGCAAACAGGAUUAGAUACCCGAGUAGUC